ACAGCUCAGUGGUAAAGCAUCUGCUUUGCAGGCAGAAGGCUCCAGGUUCAAUCCCCAGCAUCUCUA